UAGGGAAUCUUCGGCAAUGGACGAAAGUCUGACCGAGCAACGCCGCGUGAGUGAAGAAGGUUUUCGGAUCGUAAAACUCUGUUGUUAGAGAAGAACAAGGACGUUAGUAACUGAACGUCCCCUGACGGUAUCUAACCAGAAAGCCACGGCUAACUACGUGCCAGCAGCCGCGGUAAUACGUAGGUGGCAAGCGUUGUCCGGAUUUAUUGGGCGUAAAGCGAGCGCAGGCGGUUUCUUAAGUCUGAUGUGAAAGCCCCCGGCUCAACCGGGGAGGGUCAUUGGAAACUGGGGGGGUUGAGUGCAGAAGAGGGGAGGUGAAUUCCAUGUGUGGCGGUGAAGUGCGUAGAUAUAUGGAGGAACACCAGUGGCGAAGGCGGCUCUCUGGUCUGUAACUGACGCUGGGGCUCGAAAGCGUGGGGAGCAAACAGG
rnacentral:rRNA from 1 species